rnacentral:rRNA from 1 species
UACGUAGGGGGCAAGCGUUGUCCGGAUUUAUUGGGCGUAAAGAGCUUGUAGGCGGCUUGGUAAGUCGAGUGUGAAAACUCCAGGCUCAACCUGGAGACGCCAUUCGAUACUGCCAUGGCUAGAGUCCGGUAGAGGAGCACGGAAUUCCUGGUGUAGCGGUGAAAUGCGCAGAUAUCAGGAGGAACACCAGCAGCGAAGGCGGUGCUCUGGGCCGGUACUGACGCUGAGAAGCGAAAGCGUGGGGAGCGAACAGG